GGGCGGUUAGCUCAGUUGGUUAGAGCACCUGCUCGACAAGCAGGGGGUCGUUGGUUCGAGUCCAAUACUGCCCACCA
rnacentral:tRNA from 1 species